AGCUUUGCGCAGUGGUGAUAUCAUAACCAAUGAGGUUUUACCGAGGUGCGAUUAUUGCUAGUUGGAAAAAAAAGUCGAGUUUCGUUGAAAGGAAGUACCACUUGCGGAAGUUUAGAUUUUCUGUUUCCACUGGUAGA